ensembl:lncRNA
GUUUAGAUGACACUACUGAUUCUGUAUGAGGAAAUAUGAGUUGGUUGUGACAGGGGCAAGGGUGGAGAGAGGGGAACGGUUACAUGCUGGGAUGGGCUCGUGGGGGGGUAGGUGUGAGAUUAUUCCAAUCAGAGACAAAAUAAAAACCUCCAAGCUUGGACAACAACGCCCUCCAUUGGCCAACCGGAGCAUAUUUCCCUCCAUACUGACACCCUCCAUGUAAGCCCAGUGACCACAUAGAGAUGACCUCUACAUACAUAUUUGACCUCCUGCUUGUCUCUUCUCUGCUUGGAUGGAGACUCCUGGAUGCUGACCAGACUGUUGGAGUAGGGUCGCCCAGGAACGAGAGAGACCCUCUUUUCUGUGGAUGAAUAAAAGUCAUUCCAUGAGACACAAGAGCCCAGGUCCCAGUGAUGUGGCAGGGUAUCAGUGUGGUGAGUGGGGCCAUGGUUCCCCCAGACCACAGGAGCAGCCUUCACUGCCCCAGGCCCAGCGGUGAUCAGCAAGGCCCAGCAGAGCUCCAUCUGCUCUGGGUAACACCAGUGGCCCCUACCAGGGAGAGCAAGGGGUGGGGGUCACGGAUGAGUAACUAUGACAAGGUUGAGAGAGUCCUGGUAUGACAUUACAGUGCACCACCUCCUCUUUGCACUUCAUCCUUCAUCACCCCUCUCCCAGCAGUGGAGACCCCCUGCCCACCAGUACAUGCACUUGAGUCCCACUCCGGGCACAGACUCCCCACUGAGUGACAGCAACAGGCCAGCAAUGGCCACACACACACACACACACAAACAAGCACGCAUUACAUGUACUCACGUGCACACACACACAUGCAUGUACACACAUACACAUUUACUCUGAAGAGAGGCAUUCACUGUACAGUCUCCAGCCAGACGUGAGAAACAACACUGGUUUCCUUCCAGGGCUGCUGCUGUUUCUAAUGUUCCAUCAAUCUAAUGUUCCAAAGGGCAACUCUCUUAAUGUUCACCAUCACAAUGACAAAGGAAGAUGUUACUAGAGGCAUUUAUUCUUCAAUACGAACUCGUACACAAAAACACACCAUCUGCAUGUAUAUCAAUAAACAAUUACAAUUUUUAUCAAAUCGGCAAAUCUGUGCAAAAUGACAAAGUAUUCAUUAUUAGACCUUUGGUAACUGUGACACUAAAUAGGUUUUCUAAAUUUAAGAUGGAUAUAAAUAACAAGCUCGUCUAUUUUAAUAUAAUCAUAAGAUAAACGUAAGAUAAAAUAGUGCAUAUGUGGAGUCUGCAGAAUGUGUCACUAUGAAGCACACAAUUAUUGAUUUGCAUAUAAACUGACAGUAAAAAAACACACAAACCUUUUGAGAUGGUGGAUACCUGCUCUAUGGCAGGUAGUAGGCCAGAGAAUGCCCUUUGGGUCUCCAGGGCUUGUUUCCACCAGCUGCCCAGCUUACAGUGACCCAGCCUAUCCUCUAGGGUGCAUCUGAAGCAUGCUGCCUCCUCCUUGUGCAAGGCCUUCUCCCCUCCAGGUAACCUGUCUCUGGGGCUGAGGAGGUGCUGAGCUGGGGGAUUGCGGCUGGAGUUGUUCCUGCGGGACAGAGGGACUCCAGGGACCUGUAGCUGUCUGGAGCGUACGGACCUCCGACGGGGGAUGAGCAGAGAGGAGUCCUGGAGAGAGAAGGGCCGGAUAUUCCUCCCAGAGCCCCCACUGUCCAGUUCCCCCUCCAGGGUAGAGCCUCUCUCUGUACUUGGGCCACUGGGCCCUGCACUUCUCAGCUCCUCCAGAGAACAAAAGGUCUGGUGGAGCUCAGAGAGCAGGUCCUGGGUGGUCUCAGUGAGGGCACAGGAUGUCAGGAUCUCUGGUUGGUCCACUGCAUCCUGGGAGUCCUGGCAGAAACAUUCUAUUGCUUCCUCAAGCUAUGGAGGGUCAGACACCCUCUGAACAAACACAGAAUCCCAGCUGGCCAAUACUGUAGGUGGUCUGCAUAGUAUGUACAGUAUUUAUGUAAUUGGACAGUAGAGGUCUGUCACCUGUAAGGGCUCCAGCUCCAAGGAGCAGAGAGAUGAAGCAACAGCAGCCCCAGAGAAGAGGGAGGUCUGGGGGAGGAGGUUCUCUGAUUUGUCCCCUCCAGGUAUGACGCUCCACACGUCAGUCACAUGAAUGAUUUCCUCAGUCACUUCCUUGUAGUAGUCAAUGUAAUCUGGAUUAUCAUGAACAAAAGUAAUUUAGUUAAAGGGCCAACUAUUUAAAUAUCUCUCAGUUAAGUCAUACAGCAGAUAUAGUGAAAACACAGCCACAACAUUUGAAACACACCAUAGUCAGGUGUCAGGAAGUUGUGACUCUCCACUUGGAUCGCAGAAACAGAGGGCACUGAUUGGUUGUCCUCAUUACUAUACAACUGAGGAUGGAGGUUUAGUCUGCGCAGACUAUCUCUGACAAACAAAUGAUCACAUAAAGAACACGUCCUUAUCUUACUGUACUUUAUAACACAAUGCUGGCCACAGAAAAUAGUGCAACAUUGGAAUAAUCAGUCUGUUGAAAUUAUAAAGUAAACAUAGCCAUUGUGUAAGGAUUGAAAGGGGUCACCUUCUGUCUAAUGUUACAUCUACAGGGGGAACUGCCUCCUCUUCCACAAUUACGAGGUUGUGUCCUGGUAUCACAGGUCAUGAUCUCCUCUACUCCCCCCAAUGGAAACAUUACAAAAUAAACAAAAAACACACACUUUCAAGAACUCAGAAAACCGGAAAAUGUUAUGUUGGGGUAAUAUUCAAGAACUUUAUUUCAAAAAGAGCUGACAACUGAAAUCUUGAGUAUCAUACAGCUCCAGUCAGUGCAUCUGAACUCCCACUCAGUGGAGAAUGCCAUUACAACUCUCCUUCCGUGGCCUCCAAACGCCUUCCGUGGCCUCCAAAUGCUCCUUCCGUGGCCUCCAAAUGCUCUUAAACGCAAGUCAAACUAAAUGCAUGCUAUUCAACCGAUCACUGCCCGCACCUGCUCGCCCAUCCAGCAUCACUACUCUGGAUGGCUCUGACUUAGAAUACGUGGAUAACUACAAAUACCUAGGUGUCUGGUUAGACUGUAAACUCUCCUUCCAUACUCACAUUAAGCAUCUCUAAUCCAAAAUUAAAUCUAGAAUUGGCUUCCUAUAUCGCAACAAAGCAUCCUUCACUCAUGCUGCCAAACAUACCCUCGUAAAACUGACCAUCCUACCGAUCCUCGACUUCGGUGAUGUCGUCUAUAAAAUAGCCUACAACACUCUACUCAACAAAUGCAGUCUAUCACAGUGCCAUCCGUUUUGUCACCAAAGCCCCAUACACAACCCACCAUUGCGACCUGUACGCUCUCGUUGGUUGGCCCUCGCUUCAUACUCGUCGCCAAACCCACUGGCUACAGGUUAUCUACAAGUCUCUGCUAGGUAAAGCCCCGCCUUAUCUCAGCUCACUGGUCACCAUAGCAGCACCCACUCGUAGCAUGCGCUCCAGCAGGUAUAUCUCACUGGUCACCCCCAAAGCCAAUUCCUCCUUUGGUUGUCUUUCCUUCCAGUUCUCUGCUGCCAAUGACUGGAACGAACUGCAAAAAUCUCUGAAGCUGGAGACUCAUAUCUCCCUCACUAGCUUCAAGCACCAGCUGUCAGAGCAGCUCACAGAUCACUGCACCUGUAUAUAGCCCAUCUGUAAACAGCCCAUCUAUCUACCUACCUCAUCCCCAUACAGUAUUUAUCUCGCUCCUUGCACCCCAGCAUCUCUACUUGCACAUUCAUCUUCUGCACAUCUACCAUUCCAAUGUUUAAUUUCUAUAUUGUAAAUACUUCACCACCAUGGCCAAUUUAUUGCCUUAACUCCCUUAUCUUACCUCAUUUGCACUCACUGUACAUAGACAUUUUGUUUUCUUUUGUUCUGCUGUAUUAUUGACUCUGUUUUGUUUAUUCCAUGUGUAACUCUGUGUUGUUGUAUGUGUUGAAUUGCUAUGCUUUAUCUUGGCCAGGUCACAGUUGCAAAUGAGACCUUGUUCUCAACUAGCCUACCUGGUUAAAUAAAG